rnacentral:rRNA from 1 species
GGCGCACGGGUGAGUAACGCGUGGAUAUCUGCCUUCUGGUUCGGAAUAACCCCGGGAAACUGGGGCUAAUACCGAAUGGUUCCUACGGGAUAAAGAUUAUCGCAGAAGAUGAGUCCGCGUCCGAUUAGCUAGUUGGCGGGGUAAUGCCACCAGCGACGAUCGGUAGCUGGUCUGAGAGGACGAUCAGCCACACUGGGACUGAGACACGNGCCAGACUCCUACGGGAGGCAGCAGUGGGGAAUAUUGGACAAUGGGGGCAACCCUGAUCCAGCCAUGCCGCGUGAGUGAUGAAGGCCUUCGGGUUGUAAAGCUCUUUUGGCGGGGACGAUGAUGACGGGUACCCGCAGAAUAAGCCCCGGUAACUUCGUGCCAGCAGCCGCGG